UAUGUGAUCGUCUCUCGCAUAUCAAUAAGCGGAGGAAAAGAAACUAACAAGGAUUCCCCUAGUAACGGCGAGUGAAGCGGGAAGAGCUCAAAUUUGAAAUCUUAAAGGGUUUCCCUUUACGAAUUGUAGUUUAAAGAAGUGUUUUCUGUUGAGGUUUUGGUAAAAGUUCUUUGGAAUAGGACAUCAUAGAGGGUGAGAAUCCCGUAUUUGACCUUUACUUUCAACUUUGUGAUACACUUUCAAAGAGUCGGAUUGUUUGGGAAUGCAGUCCAAAAUGGGUGGUAAAUUUCAUCUAAAGCUAAAUAUUGGCGAGAGACCGAUAGCGAACAAGUACCGUGAGGGAAAGAUGAAAAGAACUUUGAAAAGAGAGUUAAACAGUACGUGAAAUUGUCAAAAGGGAAGCGUUUGACACCAGUGUUGUUUUUCUGAAAAUCAAUUAAAGAACUGUUUAUGCUAAGUUGUUUAGACUUUAUCAGCUAUCUGUUUAGUUUUGAGCUUUUCUUUAAUGCACUUUUCAGUUAACAAGUCAACAUCAAUUUCUUUUGCCUGUAAAAAAGCUUGAGGAAGGUGGCUAGAGAUUCGUCUUAAGUGUUUAUAGCCUCUUGCCUAUGCAGUCGGAGAGAUUGAGGUCUGCAGCGUAGAUCCUUCGGGGCUAAAUGCAUUUGUGCUAAGUUAUAGCAUUUUAUAGACAACUUGUUGACUAUGAUUUGUCUUGUAGCUUACUCGCUUAUGUUAUUUUACCUACGCUUAGGAUGUUGACACACGCGCGUGCUCG
rnacentral:rRNA from 1 species